rnacentral:rRNA from 1 species
AAUAGAUACCCGGGUAGUCCACGCCGUAAACGAUGGAUACUAGCUGUUUGGAAGAAAUUCUGAGUGGCUAAGCGAAAGUGAUAAGUAUCCCACCUGGGGAGUACGGGCGCAAGCCUGAAACUCAAAGGAAUUGACGGGGGCCCGCACAAGCGGUGGAGCAUGUGGUUUAAUUCGAUGAUACGCGAGGAACCUUACCAGGGCUUAAAUGUAGAUUGACAGGCGUGGAAACAUGCUUUUCUUCGGACAAUUUACAAGGUGCUGCAUGGUUGUCGUCAGCUCGUGCCGUGAGGUGUCAGGUUAAGUCCUAUAACGAGCGCAACCCCUGUUGUUAGUUGCCAGCGAGUCAUGUCGGGAACUCUAACAAGACUGCCAGUGUAAACUGUGAGGAAGGUGGGGAUGACGUCAAAUCAUCACGGCCCUUACGUCCUGGGCCACACACGUGCUACAAUGGGCGGUACAGAGAGCAGCUACCUAGUGAUAGGAUGCGAAUCUAUAAAACCGUUCUCAGUUCGGAUCGGAGUCUGCAACUCG